rnacentral:rRNA from 1 species
GAUGCACGCUGGCGGCGUGCCUAACACAUGCAAGUCGAGCGAACAGACGAGAGUGCUUUCCCUCUCUCACGUUAGCGGCGGACGGGUGAGUAACACGUGGGUAACCUACCUCUAAGGCUUGGAUAACUUCGGCUAACCCUAGCUAAUACCGGAUCAUCUUUAGCUUCGCUUGAAUCAAUAGUUUAAUCCGGUUCUGCUGUCCUUUAUAGCUGUACCCGCGGUGUAUUGGCUAUUGGGUGCGGAAACGGCUCACCAAGGCGAGGAUGCAUAGCCGACCUGCGAGGGGGCUCGUCGACAGUGGGACUGAGACACGGCCCAGACUCCGACGGGAGGCAGCAGUAGGGAAUCUUCGGCAAUGGACGAAGGGAUGACGGAGCAAUGCCGCGUGAGUGAAGAAGGUGUUCGGAUGUUAAAACUCUGUUGUAAGGGAAGAAAAAGUACGUUAGUAACAGAACGUACCUUGACGGUAUCUGAAGAAAAAGCCACGGCUAACUACGUG